CCAGGAGUUGCUCUCAUUUCCCAUGGAUGUUCUCCAAGCUGCUGGAUCAUCAUGAAGACCAAACCAAGCCACGGAGUAGGAAAACUUGGCUUUCAAUCUCAUCAAGUCAUCCAUGCUUUCAAACGUAGCCAGGAGCAUGAAGACGUGGAGGUCAGCCGGGUCACUGGGUCACUCUGGACUUUGUUGGAGUUCAACCGUCCACUGCAGGUUGAAGUCGGUCCAUCCGUCCUCUGCGAGCAAAUCAGAAAGCUGAAAGAGAACGAAACAUUCAGAAAGGAGGACUCUUUCAGACAAAAUAAAAGAGUCACAGAGAUCUACCUGCCACAGGA